UGAGGCCUGGGUAAACCGUGAGGUGGCCGCCAUCUUGCGUACGGAGGUGCGGCUUGUUACCCAGAUUGCGAGCCUGGGCUUUUAGACCCUCCAGAUCUCGGCUUUGGCGUUGUGCUUCCGCUUUUCUUUCACCUUUACAGAGGUUCGUGUCUUCCUAGAAGAAGGUUUUGUUGGGAGGUAAAGGUCAAUGCGUAGGUGUAGAAUAAGAUGUCUUGUGAAAUUGGAGGUAAAUUCUUGGGACCUAGUGAAGAAGUUACAAGUGAACCACGCUGUAAAAAAUUGAAGUCAACUGCAGAGGCAUGUGUUUUUCACAAUCAUAAUGAUGCUGAUUUUCACAGAAUUCAAGAGAAAACUGGAAAUGAUUGGGUCCCUGUGACCAUCAUUGAUGUCAGAGGACAUAGUUAUUUGCAGGAGGAUAAAACCAAAACGACAGAUUUGUAUAGACCUUUGCAUGAUGAGAUGCCUGGUAAUAGACCAGAUGUUAUUGCAUCCAUCGAUUCACAAGUUUUACAGGAAUCGCGUCCUCCAUUAGUAUCUACAGAUGAUGAGAUAUAUAGCACAAGUAAAGCAUUUAUAGGACCCAUUUAUAAACCCCCUGAGAAAAAGAAACGUAAUGAAAGGAGGAAUAAGGCAGACACUCUAAAUGGUAAAAAUGGCAGAGGAGGACAAACAGAGAAACAGAAAUUUAACUCUGGAAAAUCAGAGAUUGACAAUGAAUUCUUCCAGUUUUACAAAGAAAUUGAAGAGCUUGAAAAGGAAAAAAGUGAUUUUGAGAACAGUUGUAAAGAAUCUGAACCUUCUCAGGAACAAUUUAUUCCAAUUUAUCAGGGUCAUAAUAAUGGUCUCUUAAAACCUGAAGAAAAGAAAGAUUUUAGUAAUAAUGCUCUUUCAUCACAUUGUGAUUAUCAACAGAACUUGGGGAAUGAGCCAGGCAAAUAUCCCUGUUAUGGACAAGUGAUACCUACAUUUUGUGACACUUCAUUUACUUUCAGACCUGAAUGGCAAUCAGUGCAUCCUUUUAUAGUGCCCCAUGGUCCUCCUCUUCCCAGUUUGAACUAUCAUUUAAAUUUUCAAAGAUUCAGUGCUCCACCAAAUCCACGAUCAAAUAUUUUCCAAUCCCAAGAUGACUUUCAGAUGCAAAAUGGAUAUUACGUAAAUAAUUGUCAUGUUAACUGGAAUUGUAUGACUUUUGAUCAGAACAAUGAGUAUACUGACUGUAGUGAGAAUAGGAGUAGUGUUCAUCCCUCUGGAAAUGGCUGCAGUAUUCAAGAUGAAUAUGUGAGUAAUGGUUUCUGUGAAGUCAGAGAAAGAUGCUGGAAAGAUCCUUGUAUGGACAAGCAUAAUGGAACAGACAGGUUUGUGAACCAGCAGUUUGAAGAGGCAAAGUUAAAUAAAUUGCAGAAGUUACUUAUUCUUUUAAGAGGUCUGCCUGGUUCUGGGAAAACAACGUUGUCUCGGAUUCUGCUUGGUCAGAAUCGUGAUGGCAUUGUGUUCAGCACUGAUGACUAUUUUCACCAUCAAGAUGGGUACAGGUAUAAUGUUAAUCAACUUGGUGAUGCCCAUGACUGGAACCAGAACAGAGGAGGAAUAAACAUGGUGUGUCUCGAAAGAAGAUUGCUCAGAUGUUGGAUCGUUAUGAAUAUCAAAUGUCCAUUUCUAUUGUAAUGAAUUCAGUGGAACCGUCACACAAAAGCCCACAAAGACCUCCUCCUCCACAGGGGAGACAGAGCUGAUUGAUCUGUGUGACAAAAUUACUUCUGAGCUAUAAUCAGCACAUCACUUGGUUCGAAGAAAAUUCCCUAGCAGAUGUUAGAUGGUAAGCAUAUCAAUCUGGGGAAUUUUCUUCGUGAUAUACAUAUUCAUCUUGUAAUGUAUACAUGUGCAUAUCAUCCUUUUUCUCAAGCCAUCUCUAAUCCCAUAUGCUUGCCAGUUCUUGAAAACAUAAAGUGAUUCUAAUAAUGUUUGCUUCUCUUCGUUCAAGUUAAUGUGAUACAAUUCUAAUAUAAAAAAUAUUUUGAACAGUUGCUUAACAUUGAUCAUAAGAGGAUUUAUACUAUAGAAUGUCUUCUAGUACUAAUUUUUCUGUAGAGCAUACUAUUUCUCUUAUUGGAUAGUUUUCUUUAUAAGACAUGUUUCUUCACUUAAGAUUAAAAACUGAGAUGGAAUUCAUUUCAGAGGUCUUGUCCUUCAUCCCCUACCUUCAAAUUGAACUUUACCUAGACUAACUUAGAUAAUUAAGCAUUUCUCUUUGCAACAUCAGGAAAAAAUAUUACUACCUCUUUCAAUACCAUUGUUCCCAAUGUCUUAUGAAAAGCAUUUUUUCAAAAGUUUUGAUUUACAUUUUUGAUUUACUCUUUUUAGGGAAUAACCCCAGAAAAUUACAAUGCUGUUUUAAAAAAUUAAGCAUUAUGUUUUUUUUUUUUUGAGAUGGAGUUUUGCUCUUGUUACCCAGGCUGGAGUGCAAUGGCGCGUGCGAUCUCGGCUCACCGCAACCUCUGCCUCCUGGGUUCAGGCAAUUCUCCUGCCUCAGCCUCCUGAGUAGCUGGGAUUACAGGCACAUGCCACCAUGCCCAGCUAAUUUUUUGUAUUUUUAGUAGAGACGGGGUUUCACCAUGUUGACCAGGAUGGUCUUGAUCUCUUGACCUCAUAAACCACCUGCCUUGGCCUCCCAAAGUGCUGGGAUUACAGGCGUGAGCCACCGCGCCCGGCGCAUUAUGAUUCUUUCUAUGUGGCCUUUAAACUUUCUCUUAAACCAGCGCAUCUUGAAUCCCAUAGUAUUUCUUUGUUUUAAAACCUUUUGCUAUUCCUUUCAACUUCAAAUAUUACUUUUUACGUUGUGAAGCUAAACACUAGAUUUAGUGCUGUCAACAAGAACUUUAUUACAUGGUCUUUAGUGAAAUAAGAGUAUGAUUUUAUUUGUACUAUUUGGUGCCAUUAACAUUUGAAUGAAUGUUACCUUUAUCUUGUUUAACACUUGUAUGUAUAUAUUUGCUCAUCUUAAUAUGAUACAGUAAGAAUAUGCUAAUUUGUUUUGUGUGUAAAUGUAUAUUAUAUACAUAUACAUCUUCAGCUAUGUUUUCAUAUAUUUUAUUUCAGAGUAAUACUUGGUAUUUGAACUUUGGUUUCUGAGUAUUUUAUUCUGUAGAUGAGCACGGUUUGAAAAUCGUACACAAGGUUUUCAUUUUGGGACAGGUGAAACAACUCUUAAGCAGACUGUGUGUCCCUUUCCCUCUGUCUUCAUAAACUUAAGAGUUAUAAUACUUUGGGCCAGGCACGGUGGCUUAAGCCUGUAAUCCCAGCACUUUGGGAGACCGAGGUGGGUGGAUCACGAGGUCAAGAGAUUGAGACCAUCCUGGUCAACACGGUGAAACCCCGUCUCUACUAAAAAUACAAAAAAUUAGCUGGGCAUGGUGGCAUGUGCCUGUAAUCCCAGCUACUCAGGAGGCUGAGGCAGGAGAAUUGCCUGAACCCAGGAGGCGGAGGUUGCGGUGAGCUGAGAUCGCGCCAUUGCACUCCAGCCUGGGUAACGAGGGAAACUCUGUCUCAAAAAAAAAAAGAGCAGUAAUACUUUAAAUUUAGUUUUUUAGCUGGGUGAGGUGGCUCAUGCCUAGAAUCCCACUUUGGGAGGCCAAGGUGGGCAGAUGACCUGAUGUCAGGAGUUUGAGACCAGCCUAGCUAAUACAGUGAAACCCCAUCUUUACUAAAAAUGCAAAAAUUAGCUGGGCAUUAUGGUAUGUGCUUGUAAUCCCAGCUACUUGAGAGGCUGAGGAAGGAGAAUCGCUUAAACCUGGGAGGCAGCGUUUGCCAGUGAGCAGGGAUUGCCCCACUUGCACUCCAGCCUGUGAGACAGAGCAAGGCUCCAUCCCAAAAAAAAAAGUUUUUUGAAUAAUGUUUAAUCAAGUUUAUUUUCAGAAAGUAGAGGAUUGCCUUUGGGAGAAAUAUUAUAAGGCAAUAUGUUCAUGUUAAGUUUAAAAUAAAUUUCUGGAUUAUAGACUCGUCUUCAUCUCCUAGUUCUAACUGCUGAAUAAUAAUCAUUUAGAGAUCAUUAGUCUUUACCAAUUAAUUUUUUUUACAUUAUAAUGUUAGUGAGACAGCUACUGUUGCAUCAUGAGGUCCAAAUAAGUAAAUCUUAGGAGGGAAACUAACAUUCUUAAAAUUAAACAAGGACUUGCUCUGCUACCUGGGCUGGAGUGUGGUGGUGUGAUCAUAGCUUGCUGUAACCUUAAACUCCUAGGUUCAAGAGGUCUUCUUUCCCAGCAUCUCGGGUAGCUGGGACUUUAAGCGUGCACCGUGACACUUGGCUAAUAUUUGCAUGUUAAAACAUUUUUUGUAGAGAUGGGCUCUUGCCAUGUUGCCCAAACUGAUCUUGUACUCUUGGCCUUAAAUGAUCCUCCUACCUUGGCCUCUCAGAGUGCUGAGAUUACAGGCAUGAGCCACUGCACCAGCUUUAGUUUUUUUUUGUUUUGUUUUGAGACAGAGUCUUGCUCUGUUGCCCAGGCUGGAGUGCAGUGGCAUGAUCUUGGCUCACAGCAACCUCCACCUCCCAGGAUCAAGCAAUUCUGCUUCAGCCUCCCAAAUAGCUGAGAUUAAAAGUGUGUGCCACUGCGCCGGAUAAUUUUUAUAGAGAUGGGGUUUCACCAUGUUGGCCAGGCUGGUCUGACCUCAGGUGAUCUGCCAGUCUUGGCCUCCCAAAGUGCUAGGAUUACAGGUGUGAGCCACCAUACCCGGCCUAGUUGUUAUUUUUAAGGCACAAAAAUAGUUGUUUUCCUAAAUAUUGUGGCUAAUUUUAAUUAAAAACAUUGGAGGAAUGAACAUGCACUGGAAAUACUAAGUCACUAUUUAAAGUCACUGCUUGGUGUCUAAAAAUCUAUAAAAAUGUGAAAUUUAUAAUUCUUCAAAAGUUUCCUAUUCAGACAGUCUUGGUCCGGGCAGGGUUAAGAGAGGAGGUGUCUUUGUGUUGAAUAGACUGGAUUUAACUGGUCUCAAGUGAUCAUCCCGCCUUAGCCUACCUGGUAGCUGGGAUUACCGGCACCCAGCUAGAUACAGUGUUAGUGGGAUAGACCCCUGCUGCUGUACCUCAUUCUAACCAUCUCCAUCACAAAUAAUUAAAUUGGACAUUAAUCAUAUUUAACUAAGAUAGUGCUCAUCUCCUGGGUUCUCCUGCCUCAGCCUCCUGAGUAGCUGGGACUACAGGCUCACACCACCACGCCCAGCUAAUUUUUUUUUUUUUUGUAUGCACAUGUUGACCUUGUGAUCUGCCCACCUCAGCCUCCCAAAGUGCUGGGAUUACAGGCGUGAGCCACCAUGCUUGGCCUUGAGACUGUGUUUUCUAAGUAUAAGGAAAAUUGGUGGUGUAUAAAACCUCGAACUGUAGUUGUGUGUUUUAGUGUCUUGACCAAAUAAGCUUGCCAGUCUUUAUUGAAGUUUUAUGUAGUAUUCUGACAUGAAUAUGGUAACUAAUAAGGGCUAAAGUAUUGUUGCUUUUUUUUCCCUUGAUGUUUGCAAUCCAUAUUGAGUAAUGUCUUAGUCUAUAAUAAUUACAGAGUCUUAGCUUAUGAUUCAGAAUAAAUAAUUCACAACAUUCAAAAUAAAUAAUGUGGCAGGAGUAGGUUAAGUUAAUGAUUUUUUAGAGUUAAGUUUCAGGAGCUACCAUUUACAAAUUAAGUUUUUGCUUAUUAAAAUUGUCAGCUAUAUCUUUGUAAAUUUUCUGAGGAGAGAUUAUAUUAAGGGAUUAAUGAAUAUUCUGUUUGUUGAUAAGAUUGGCAUACAAAUCUUUACUUUUAAAAUUAAGGUAUCAUUAAAACAGUUGGCUUCCCUGCAUGUAUUCUGUAUUUUCUUCUUAUACUGUCCUUAGAAUGGUAAGAAGUAGUAUUAAGUUCCUCGAAAUAGAUCCUAAAAAUAUAGGGAUUAGUGAUUGUCUUGUGUGUCCUUUUGAUUCCUUUUUUACUUUGCAAAGCAGUAUUCAGAUUGAUUCAGUUUAGUAGAUUCAAAUUGCCAAAUGUGUUAAGCCUCAGUUUUCAUUUUUGCAUGGUUUGUAAGUUUCAGAGCAAACCUUGAAAAGGCAAUAAUUAUGAUUAUUUGCAACUGAGUUCAGAAAACAUGCAGAAGAAUGGUUAUGAUUUACUCAGUAAUUUAGAGUCCAUUGACUGGUGUAAUGUUUGUAAUAGAAUAUACGUGUAUGUAAGCGGUAAUUUGGAAUAUUUCCUACAGAAAAAAAAAAUUUUUUUUGAGAGGGAGUCUCGCUUUGUCACUCAUAUUGGAGUGCAGUGGCAUGAUCUUGGCUCGCUGCAACCUCCACCUCCUGGGUUCAAGCUGCUAUUCUGCCCCUGCCUCCUGAGUAGCUGGGAUUACAGGCAUGUGCCACCACACCCAGCUAAUUUUUUUGUAUUUUUAGUAGAGAUGGGGUUUCACUACAUUGGCCAUGCUGGUCUCAAACUCCUGACCUCAGGAGAUCUGCCCACCUUGGCCUCCCAAAGUGCUAGGAUUACAGAUGUGAGCCACUGUGCCCAGCCCAAAAUUCUUAAUACAUUAUAACUCUCUAUGCACAAGAAGAAGAAGAAGGAGUAGCACAAAUAACUUUGGAAAGAGGCUCAACAGUAAAUAGAUAUUAAUUCUAGAAGCUAAGCUGUAUAUGUUGAAAAGUUUUGUCUUUUUAUUCAUUCAAUAGAAAUUUAUUUUAGUCAUUCGUAAUCUUUUUCUUCCUUCUCCUGACAAAUUUUGCUCUCUGAGAGAUAACCCUGUCACAUUCCAGUUAUGAUAAUUGUAAUGAUUACACUUAUACUUCACUUCUCAGAAUGGAAUCUGUUAACUUCAAUAAGUUCUCUUAAAUUUCAGUGUGAAAAAAAUACAUAAUUUUUCUGUAGCAUGGACACAGGUGCAGUCUGAUCCCUAAUCUCAAAACUAGACACAGUUGCAUUAACAAGCAUUAUACCUACUUUGGUGAGUAACUGAGGACUUCACAUCGAAGUGUUGUUUUGGUUUUUAGUAUUUCCAUUUACUUUUUAAAAAAAAUUAAACUACUUUUUGUAAAUUGAUGGGAAGAUUGAAAUAUUUUGAGAGGAACUAUUAGGUUUGCCUCUCAGUUUUGCUAGUAACUAAGGGGAAAAGAAUCAUGGUUAUUCAUGGUUAAAAUUGUUUUAGUAGAGUCCAUUGAAAUGUACUUUAUUAUUUGCAUUAUUUUCUUAUUUUGCAGUUUUAACUGUUUUCAGAUGGUACAUGUAAAAUUAAAGUUUUAUUCUUGGUGUUGAUUUACAAUUAGUAAUUAUAAUAAUUAUACAACUUUCAAAAUGUCUCUUCAGUUGUAAUUCUGAGCUCUUUAUUUUUUUACCGUAACAAAAUGAAAGAAAAUUUACUUGGGGAGGGAUUGUGGGUUCUUUGUUUUCCAUUCUUUUUUCUUUUUUCUUUCUUUUUUUUCUUUUCAGUUUUUCUUAAUCUUAGAAAUCUUGUUUGUUUUCAUGAUCUGUUCUUGUAUACAUGUUUUUUUUUUCACUCUAUUCAUUUUUUGCCCAGCUGUCCUCCUGUAACCUCAUAACAUUUUUAAUGAAGAUGAUGGAAUGGUAAGUGGCUGGCAAAGCUGGACAUAAUCUCUUUUUCCCUCUUUGAUUCUACUGAACUCAUUGUUCCUUCUGAGCCUUACUUAACCAAGUUGAGCUUAUAGACCACAGCUCUGUAGUUAGUUUCCUGACCCUGUGGGUUAUGUAGAAUUUAGAUAUGAAAACAGCUGGAAAGGUUAUAAAAAUCUAUUGUGUUAAUUAUUGGUGGGGAUUUCAUAACAUGGCAUAGAAAGAACUUAAAUGUACAGAUUUGAGAAAAAAUAUUUACAUUAAUUUAAUUAUAUGAUGAUGGAUGUUAAUUGAUAAACAAUAGGUUGAAAUUCACUGUUACAGAAUUUGCUAUUACGUCGUGAUUGCUGGUUGCCCUUAACUGAAUGAUUUUGAAGGAAAGCUAAUAACUAUUUUGAGUUAAAUGUUUACAAGUGGUUCCUUAUAUGGUGCAGUGCUGCUGCAACAAAGAGGAAUUUUGUCGCAAAAAGUCUUAAUAAAAGCCAUUUAAAUAACUGCUGUUUAUUUAAUGCCCAUCAGUGCUAGGCCCCCAUCUAAAUGUGAUUGUUACAGUCACUGAAUUUUCACAAUUCUACAAUGGUUUUAAAAGAGGAAACAAAUUUAGGUUAAAAAACUUACCUAACAUGAUUUCUCUAGUAAGAGAGAAAACUGAUUCAGAUCUAUGUUAUGUUAGACAUAUUUAUCUACUGUAACUCAGUAUUAUUUUUAAGCCACGUAGUUACUUUUUUUUUAAAUUUAGUGUUUUUCCAAGGUUGAAAAGAAAUACCAGUGAAGAGUUGAUUCCAUCUUUAUGGUACCUUUAUGUUAUAAGGUUAUAAGGUAUAUUGAUUUAUUAGGGAAGUUGAGUGAAGAAAUCUUAAAGCGGCCAUUUAGAAUUCUGUUUAAAAGUCAAAAGAGUUGGGCUGGACGCAGUGGCUCAUGCCUGUAAUCCCAGUGCUUUGGGAAGUCAGGCGGGUGGAUCACCUGAGGCGAGGAGUUGGAGAACAGUCUGACCAACAUGCUGAAAUCCUGUCCCUACUGAAAAUACAAAAAAGCCAGGCGUGGUGGCGCAUGCCUGUAAUCCCAGCCACUCAGGAGGCUGAUGUAGGAGAAUAGCUUGAACCCAGGUGGUGGAGGUUGCAGUCAGGCAAGAUCAUGCCACUGCACUCUAGCCUGAGCAACAGUGAGACUCCAUCUCAAGAAAAAAAAAAGAUUGAGAGUUUAUGCUAUUUAAUGUUUAAAUGUUUUCUGUAAAUUAAACAUCAAUAUACUUGAUAAUCAUAUUUCAGGAGCAUUUUUUCCAUUGAAUUACUUACAUAUACUGUUGUGCUUUAAGGCUUUAAGUUAAUUUUCUUAAUUUAAUUAGCAUUUGAAAUGUAUAGUGUCCAAUAAAUGGAUUGUUAGAUUAUGUAAGUUGGGUUUUUUUUGUUGCUGUUGUUUUGAGACGGAGCUUUGCUGUUGUUACCCAGACUGGAGUGCAAUGGCACGAUCUCGGCUCAACGCAACCUCCGCCUCCUGGGUUCAAGCAAUUCUCCUGCCUCAGCCUCCCGAGUAGCUGGGACUACAGGCGCCCACCACCAUGCCCAGCUAAUUUUUGUAUUUUAGUAGAGACGGGGUUUCACCUUGUAGACCAGGAUGGUCUCGAGCUCUUGACCUCGUGAUCCACCCGCCUCGGCCUCCCAAAGUGCUGGGAUUAUAGGUGUGAGCCACCGCGGCCGGCUGAUUUGGGUUUUUUUUACCCUGAUUAAUUUUCAGGCAUUAUUUCAAAAUAGGUCAGUACUACUUCUAAGUGGUUUUACUUAUGUUUCUUUUAUGUCCACUUGCUAUUUAAGUUUGUUAGUAGUAGAUAUUAUGGAAAUUACAUGCAUUUUCUGAAUAUUUAAAGAAUUGUUUUUUCUCUAUAAUAAUUAGGAACUUUUUAUUAUUUUAUGAUAUUUUGCAUUAAUUUUCCAAAAGAACACUAAAAGACAGUUACUUCAGUUUGCUUCAUAAAUUACUUAAAUUAUACAAGGAAAAUCUUGAAGUACAGAAUUCUUACUGUUAGGUAUUUUUCUUAUUUUGUUCUAAUGAACUUAAAAUUGAAGAACUGGGUCUUGUUUGGUUUCUCUUCAUUCCUUAAGAGGUGGAGUUUUUGUUUAGAAUAGAAAAGACUUCAUAAAAGAAGAAAUAUCAUUGGUUUUAUGAAUGAAUUGAUAGUUUUAAAUUUAGGAGACAAGAAGUACAUAACAGUAUUGGGACUAUAGAAAUAUAAUUCAAUUUAAUCCUGGGCAGAGAUGCAGUUAAGAUAUUUAUCUAGAAUAUAAGUAAAUUGAAGUAUUUAUAGGAAAUGUGAUAGGAGCCAUUGACUAGACAUUUUGAAAAUUAAAACCAGGGGUCUUGUUACCUUUGGAUUACUACUGUGUCCUAGGGGCUUUAUCCUUUACUAGGAAUCCUUUAUCCUUUACUCUUCAUUGGAUAUUAGGCUCAGUCUUCUCCCUAAAACAAUCAACAAACUUUUUGAUUCCAAGGAAGCAGUAAUCAAAGAACAGCAGUGUUAUAGGGCAGUUUGUAAUAAAAGUUGAAUAUUCCUUCCCUAUCUGAAAUACUUGAGAUUAGAAGUGUUUUAGAGUUCAGAUUUUCUUUUGGACUUUGGAAUAUUUCCAGAAUACAUACUGAUUGAGCAUAUCUAACCUGAAAAUCCGAAGUGCUACAGUGAACAUUUUCUUUAAGCGUCAUGUCAGUGCUCAAAAAGUUUAGGAUUUUGGAGCUUCUUGGAUUAUGGGUGCUCAACCUGUAUAGGAAACAUGGAUGUGGAACAUGAAUUAGUUAUAUGUGAUACUUGCUGGGGAGAGGAUUUCCAAACCACCGAAGAACAAUGUAUCUAAUGCUGUAUCAGAGCCUUUUCUUCCAGAUACUAACCUCACCAGUAGUCUAUUUAGAUAUGUGGUGUAUGAUCAAGAAAUUAAAUCCUAGAAUACAGAUGAGUAGAGCAAAGUUGAGGCUUUUGAUUAUCCGUUUCUUUUAAGGUUCUUUUGAAACCUUAUGUUGCAGUUUUUUUCUUUAACAUUUUACAGAAGGAUUUACAGACUAUCUGAGAAGAAUACUCCGGAUAUUUGUCCCAGUCUUAAAGUGGUUCAACAAAAAGUUCAUAAUCACUUUUUAGAACCCUUUUUCCAAAGACCUGUGACCCUAUGUGUAACUUAGAAAACACACAAAUGCUUGCAUCGUUUUUCAGUUGGAACAUAUUUAUCUUUAUUCAGCAAUCAAGAAUAGUUGAUACUGAUGCAUAUCUUUACAUGAUUUUCCAUUAUUUAUCUGAAAAUAAUAUAUAUCGGGUCAUUAUUUUGCCUCUUCAACCUCAAUAAUUCAGUAACUUUCUUCGUUAUUUUGUUGACCUGUUCUGUUCUGGACACUUUUCAAAAUAAUCGUAGCAUGAUUUUAAUGGAAAGAACACAUUGUAAGAGUUAAGCAUUCUGAGUUACACCUCCAUUUACGUCUGUCCUCUCUUUCAUUUGUUUAUUGAACGCCUUCAACUGUACUCUGAAUUGCAUCACUUUCCUUCUCAGGAAAUUUUAUGCAUUGUCAGUUAUUGCUUCUCUCUAACUUGAGCCUUGCCUUCGUUCCUGAGUCUGAACUAUCAACAGUUAAACAUGAUCAAGUCUUCCGAUAUGAAAGUCCCUCUUUAUUGACACAACUCAUUUAUAGCCAAACUUCUUUCUGAAAAGCAGUCGACGUUCAUUGUCUUUUUCUCCCUCACCUCUCACUGAUAAUAUUGAACCCACUCCAUUUUAGGCUCUGUUUCUGUCAUUCUUCUAAAUUGAUUUUUAAGGUCUCUAGAGUAGUCCUCUGUAUUGAUGGACAUUAUUUACUGUUCAUCUUAUGACUACUCAGGCAUUUUUUUGAUAAUUUUUUCCUUAAAAUACUUGGCUUCCUUGGCAUCAUGAUUUUUGUUCAGAUCUCUGUGACUAUUUCUGUCUCCUUUGCUGCCUCCUUCUCUUGGUCUUCGAAUUUUAGAAUUAAGUUUCAGCUCUAGACACACUCUUAGCAUUCUCUAUGUGGUCUUAUUUUUCAUGUGGGCAUAGUAGUCUCCCCACUUUUAUUUUUGCCACCUUACAAUCUUAUCCACAGAGCAGCUAAAGUAGACUAUAAUUUAAAUUCUUUUGAAUAUGCAUAAAUAAUAUCACUCACUGCUUAAACCCUAUAUAAUUUAGUCCUUGGCUGCUUCUCUGAUCCUGUCUUACAUCAUCAGUCUUCAUUUACUGUACAGUCCAUCUAUACUGACCUCUUUGAACUGUUCUUCACACAUGAGGAGCUUGUCCUUGCUAAAAGCUCUAGCUGUUACUUCUCUUUGGAAUGCUCUUCUCAUCUACUUUUCCUAUGCCUAGGAUUUUCUUAAUGUUCAAGUCUGACCUGAGGUGUCACUUUCACCAUAGUACUUGUAGUUGAAGUUACUACUGAUUUGUCGGCAGUAUUCCUGAAAUAGAAUAUAGGAUCAAUGAGGACAUAUUUAUUUUGUUCACAGCUGUGUCCACAAAAUCUAAAGUAGUGCCUGUAGUACUGUAGAAGCUCACUAAAUAGUUGGCUGAUUGAUUUUUUUUUUUUUUUGAGACGGAGUUUCACUGUUGUUACCCAGACUGGAGUGCAAUGGCACGAUCUCAGUUCACUGCAUCCUCCACCUCCUGGGUUCAAGCAAUUCUCCUGCCUCAGCCUCCCGAGCAGCUGAGACUACAGGCGCGCACCACCAUGCCCAGCUAAUUUUUGUAUUUUCAGUAGAGACGGGGUUUCACCUUGUUGACCAGGAUGGUCUUGAUCUCUUGAACUUGUGAUCCACCCGCCUCGGCCUCCCAAAGUCCUGGGAUUAUAGGCGUGAGCCACCAUGCCCGGCCGGCUGAUUGAUUUUUAUACCUGCUGGUCCUAUUAACAGUAUUGACCCCCAAAUGUGUUUUCUUCUUAAUCUUCUCUGAACUCCAGUCUGUAUACUUAACUGUCUACUUGACAUUUACACUUUUAAGCUUAAAAGGUACCUCCAGUUGAACCUGUGAUCUCUCUAACUCUGGGACUCCAGGAUUCCUGCUACAGUGAAUGGAUUUACCUUUCAUCUAUUUCUGCAAGCUAGAAAGUCAAGAGUCUUCUUCAAUGCCUUGUUUCCCCCUCAUAUUCAAUCCAUCAAAUGGAUUCUAUGGACUUUGCCACCUGAGUAUCUCUCGGACCUGUUUCUACAUUUUUAACUAAUAUCAUUUGAUGGAUUUUCACACAGUGAGCAUACCUGUGUAAUCAAUACCCAGGUCAGGAAAUACAAUGUUACUAGCAUGUUAGAAGCUCCUUGUGCCCUCUGUCAGAGUAAUCUUUUUAAAGGGUAGAUGUGAUUAUGCUUAACACCUUUCAGUUGCUUCCCAUUGCUCUUAGAAUGAAAACCAAAAAUCAUAAUGUGAUACUUAAGAGCCUGGAUGAUGUUACUGUCUUUCCUAUACAACUUCAUGUUUUUUGAAUUACUCUUCUCACUUCCCGUAUUCCAGCGGCCACCUCUCAAUUCCUUGAAUGUGCUAUGCUGUUCCCUCUUGCUAAAAAAUUCUGUGUGCAUAUACCCCUUCCAUUCUUGUCCUUCAGAUUUGAGCUCUUUGAAGUUUUCUUAGACAUAGCAAGCUUGAUGAGGUCCCAGAUACGUCUUAUAUGCUCUCGUGUACUUUAUUCAUUUGUAUAUGAUUGUUUCCCCUCAUUGUUUUUAAGCUUCAUGAGUCAGGCAUUAUACUGUUUUGUUCACUGUUGCGUGGUCAUCCGCUAGCAUGGUGGCUGGGAAAGAUUGGUAUUCAGUACUCAUACAAUAAGUGAAUAUGAGUAGUUCAGGUUUGUUAUAGAAUGAAUUAUCUAUCCCCAUCCCCUUCUACCACACACACCCAACUCAUAUUGAAGAUUAACGUUCUAGUUGUAGAAACUGGAAUGUAACUGUAUUUGGAGAUAGGGCCUUUAAAAAGGUAAUGAAGAUGAAUAUGGGUGGACCUUAAUCCCAUAUGAGUGGUGUCCAUGUAACAGGAGAUUAGGACACAGGUAUGAUCACGUGAAGACACUGGAGGAAGAUGGCCAUCUACAAGCCAAAGAGAUCUAGAGGCUUUAGAAGAAACCAGUGCUGCUGACAUCUUCAUCUUGGACUUCUAGAAGUGUGAGAAAAUAAAUUUCUGUUCUUUACUCAAUCUGUGAUACUUCAGUACGGAAGCCCUAGCAAUCUAAUACCAAUUUUGGUACUGGAAAUGGAGUGCCGGUGUAAUUAAUACCUAAAAAUAUGGAAGUGGCUUUAGAAAUAGAUAAUGAAUAGAGCCUAGCAGAAGUGUUUGUUAGAAAAAGCCUGGACUGCCUUGAAGAGAUCGUUGGUAGAAAUAAUGGCUGUUGAAGGUGAUUCUGGUGAAGCUUAGAAAAGAGGAGAGGUAGAGAAAGCUUCUGUCAUCUUAGAGGUACGAAUCUCACCUUGAGUAAAUACUGGUAGAAAUAUGAAUGUUAAAGGUGCUUCUGGUAGGAACUCAAAUGAAGAAUAUAUUGUUGGAAACUGAGGGAAAGGCGAUCAUUAUUAUAAUGUGGCAAAUAACUUAGCCAGAUGAUGUUUUUUUGGAAAGUAGAUGAACCUCUAAGUGAUGAACUUGAAUGUUUAGCUGAGAUUUCUAAGCAAUGCAUUAAAGAUAAUGGCCUGGUUUCUCCUUGCUGCUUAAAGUAAAAUGCAAGAAGGGAGAGAGAAAUUUAAGAAAGAAUUAUUAAGCCAAAAGGAAUCAGAACCUGAAGAUUUGGAAAAUUCUGUAUCCAUAUUGCAAAAAUUUAACAUGUUCUGGAGAGAACAUCAAAGUUGUUGGAAAACAACCAUUUCCUAAAGCCAUUAGGGGUAUGCGACUUCUGGAUCCAGUCAGCCAUCUUGGCAGAAACCAUUUCAGCAGAAAGUAGCAGAAACCAGGAUAGAGAUGGGUUAUACCAGUGGAAUUGCUGCUGGUUGGUACUACUGAGGGGAACAGAGGGAUAAAAAUGAAGGAGGCCUGUUGGAUUUCUGGGAUUCUAUAAAAUGGGUCAGUAGAGCUAACUGGCUGUGAACAUGUGUUCUCCUUCAAGAAAAGGGAAGAGUGACACUGAAGAUGAUUGUUAAGUCAAAGGGGCCACUUUGCUACCACAAGACCAGAGGGCUCAGGCCUGAGGAGUCAGGGUGGGCUGCCUCCCAGGGCUUUGGGAGGUGAGCUCAGAAGACAGGGCUGCCACCUUGUCAGCUGUGAAGGUGGAGAAUGAAGCUCAGGAGGAUUAUUCUUGAGCCUUAAAAUUGAAUGGGGUUUGCCUUGAUACAUUUCAGACCUGCUUGGAACCCAUCAUUCUUAGAUUUUUUUUUUUUUUGAGUUGGAAUGUUUGUCCUGUUCCUGUCCCAUCAGUGGUGUAUUUUGAAAGCAAAUAACUUGUCUAGUUUCACAGGUUCAUGAUGGAGAAGAAUUUUGCCUCGGGAUGAAACCUUGAGUCACCUGUACGAUUUAAAUGAUAUUUAGGUGAGAUUUGGGGCUUAGAGUUGAUACUGAAAUGGGUCAAGACUUUUGGGGCUAUUGGGAUGGAGUGAAUGUGUUUUGCAUAUAAGAAGGGCAUGAAUUUUGAGGGGCCAGAUGGCAGAAUGUUAGAAUUGAAUUGUAUGCUCUUCCAAUUUAUAACAGAGUCCUAACUCCUAGCACGUAGAAUGUGACCAUAUUUGGAGAUGGGGUCUUUAAGGAGGUAAUUAAGAUAAAAAGAGAUUAUACAAAUGGGCCUUAAUCCAGUAUGAAUGGUGUCUUUAUAAGAAGAGGUUAGGACACAAACACAAAGGGAAGAUCAUGUGAAGACACCGGAGAAAGAAGGCCAUCUACAAACUGAGGAGGGAGGCCUGAGAAGAGAAGAACCCUGUGGACAACUUAAUCUUGGACAUCUAGUUUUCAGAAGUGUGGGAAAAUAAAUUUCUGUUUAAGCCA